rnacentral:lncRNA from 1 species
UUGGAGUCUAGGAAACAGCAAGUGAAAGAAAACUGCAUUAAUAAUUACUAUUUAAAAAUCUGCCACCGAGAAGGUAACCACAAACUUAAAAGGGCUUGUCUAUUAGCUUCUAUAAUUUUGGAUUGAUUUUCAGAGAUAUAUUUUCUAGGUAAAAUCAAAGGAAGCACUCUGCAUUUUUGGCAUUAAUUCAAUACUAAUACUUUGCAUUCACUGUUCUAUAUUUUUGAAAAUGCUGUUCCAUCUGUAUUUUGAAGUAGAUAAUGCAGGCAUUAUUAUCAUUUAUACAUUGAGGAAACUGAGACAUGAGAACUUAAGUGACAUGGCCAAGACCUCACAACUACAACAUGAAAAGCAGGACCAGAAUUCUUGUUCUAUUGUUUUAUUCGUUACCAUCUGUCAGUAAAUGUUGAAUCUUUGAUUAAUCACAGGCAUUCCCACUUUAUAGUUUGGAAUAUAAAGACAAAACCAAAAAAUUUAAGGGGUUUGUUCAAGGUCAUUCUGUAAGAGAAAUGAAUAGCUAAGAAAAAUACAUGAGCGCUGACUUGAAAUCCUUUGCUCAAAUCACUUAACCACAACAAAUGUAAGAGUGAAAGCUAAAAAGCUAUGUAGAACACACUGUCCAUGGGGCGCCUGGGUGGCGCAGUCGGUUAAGCGUCCGACUUCAGCCAGGUCACGAUCUCGCGGUCCGUGAGUUCGAGCCCCGCAUCAGGCUCUGGGCUGAUGGCUCAGAGCCUGGAGCCUGUUUCCGAUUCUGUGUCUCCCUCUCUCUCUGCCCCUCCCCCGUUCAUGCUCUGUCUCUCUCUGUCCCAAAAAUAAAUAAAUGUUGAAAAAAAAAAUUAAAAAAAAAAAAAAAAAGAACACACUGUCCAUUACUGUUCUUAAGGUUUGUCCUAGAUAAAAGGUUUCCAUUAAAGUCCAUCUCUUCCUGGCAAACACUGUAGCCUUUGGGUAACUAUUUGUCUCCUCUAGAUGUAUUAGAAAUGAUAGAGAAGCAACAAUUUUUUUCCCCUGGGUAAAUAAUGGAAACAAACCAAUCCUUUGUGAUGCACAAAAGUCAGAAAGAUUAAAUUGUUUACAACUCAAAUACAGAAUUAUGUUCAUCAUACAGAUUAAGGUUUAUAACAGGCAUUGUGUGGCCAAAUAAUUAAGAUAAUAUUAUAGUAACAUUCUGUUAAUCUGACUUUUAAAACUCAAUUUUAAAUCAAAGAAACCACUAUACACCAGAUGAAUGAUUGCUUUUGCAUUCUUAGAUUUUUUUAAAAAAUGGAUACUAUAGGGGCGCCUGGGUGGCGCAGUCGGUUAAGCGUCCGACUUCAGCCAGGUCACGAUCUCGCGGUCCGUGAGUUCGAGCCCCGCAUCAGGCUCUGUCUGGGCUGAUGGCUCGGAGCCUGGAGCCUGUUUCCGAUUCUGUGUCUCCCUCUCUCUCUGCCCCUCCCCCGUUCAUGCUCUGUCUCUCUCUGUCCCAAAAAUAAAUAAACGUUGAAAAAAAAAAUUAAAAAAAAAAUAAAAAAUAAAAAAAAAAUAAAAAAUGGAUACUAUAGUGGAAAUUGGUCAUUAUUUGGGCCACCUGACCCGCUUCCCUAUAUUUAGAGAAUUCUUCACCUUGUAAAUCUUGGUGACCUGCAAAGAUUUAUCCCAUAGUGGAAAUAGAAGAUCUGAAAUGCUUUCUUUGCCUCUCUUGCUGUUAAGGUGCAAACAUGUAUUUAAUCACACAUCUAUGCUCGACCUUUGAUUCCAAGUUAAAGAUACAAGUUGUUUCUUUCUCUCUUUCUCCUUGUCACUGUCUUUCCUAGUGUCAGUACAGUUACUAUAAAGCAACAGUUUCUAACAGCCAAAGUGCAUCAAAUACUUGAUGUCUGUGGCACCAGCUCUAGGGUGACCACCUUGUCACAAUUUGCCUAGCACUUUUUCAGUUUUUGCUUGGAAAGCUCUGAAUCCCUGAAAACCUUUCAGUCCCAGGAAAACCACAACGGGAAGUUCAUCUUUGCUGUUUAGCUUGAAGCCUGGUUGUCUAGCCCUUCCAGCAAUUCUGUGAGCCACCCAAUAUAUCCUUUCUUUAAAAAAAAAAUUAUGGAGGUGUAACCCUAUGUUAUUUUAAUUAACGAUUGUUCUGCUUAAAUCAGUGAGAGUUGGUCUUUGUUACUGCUGCGGUGAACCUUCAAUGAAACAGACACCUUUGUGUGGAAGCAGUUUGGAAACCAACGUUUCACCAUGACCCGAUGGUUAAUUCAGCUGCUUGGGUUACUACAAACCCUAUGUGAUGUUAGUGAAGUCUUUUAAUAUUUUAAAGGUGUAGCAAAAGCAUCAAUAAUGAUUAUUCUUACCGUAUUGUUAAAUCCUGAGAUAUUUCUCAUGGUUGAGACUGUUGUGAGUCGUUUUCCCCUGGUGGUGAGACAAACAAACAUUGACAGAAUGUACAAUCACUUAGAAGUAAAGCUGAUGGCAGGAAGUCUUUGAAUUUCCCCAUCCCAUCCCAUCCCAUACCCCGCCUACCCCAAAAUUUAUGAACGCUUGUUUCUCCAAGAAAAAAAAAAUUUAAGUCAAAAAAAUAGAAGGAAUUGGUGACUUAAAAAAAGCCACUCAACUAUUCAUCUUUGGAGCAUAUGUAAAGUUCUUCGUCAUUUCUCCUGAUAGUUAGACCAUCCCUCUCUCAUUCGUUUUCUCCUUCAUGACAUCCUCACACUCCUGUGCUUGGAUUGUUUUGUCCUUUGGAGAUAAAACCUUCAGUGAGGAUACUCACUGUUCCUCAAAUGAUUAUUAAAAUGUUAUUACAGGGGUGCCUGGGUGGCUCAGUUGGUUAAGCGUCUGACUUCGGCUCAGGUCAUGAUCUCAUGGUUCAUGAGUUCAAGCUCCAUGUGGGGCUUUCUGCUGUCAGCAUGGAGCCCACUUUGGAUCCACUGUCCUUUUCCCUCUCUGCCUCUCCCCUGCUUAUGCAUGCUCUCUCUCUCAAAAACAAACAUUUGAGAAAAUGUUAUUGCAUAAAUAGUACCUCUCUAUUAAAGAAAAAUAGAAAGCAGAAGAAGAUGACUAGAAAUAAGCAUCCAUAAUUCCGCCACUGCCAUUUUGGUAUUCUUUUUAUGUAAUUUUUAAAAUUUGGGGUCAAGGGUGCCUGGGUGGCUCACCUGGUUGAGUGUCUGACCCUUGAUUUCAGCUCAGGUCAUGAUCUUACUGUUGGUGGGAUAGAGCCCCACAUUAGGCUCUGUGUUGACAACACGGAGCCUGCUUGGGAUUCUCUCUCUCUCUCUCUCUGCCCCUUCCCCCACUUUUGCACACGUGCACAUGAGUACUCUCUCUUUCUCUCUCAAAAUAAAUAAAUAAACAUUAAAACAAUUGGGGGCCAAACUGUUUACACUAUUUUAAAGCCUGCUUUAUUAUCAGUACUGUGAAUUUUUUUCCGUGUAUAUGUACACCGAUAUUUUAAAUGAUUGCAUACUUUACGAUGUAUGGAAGUAUCAUAACAUGUCAUCAAUGAACUCUUGGACACUUUUAGUUUUUAUCAACAAGACUAUUAAAAAUUAUAUAAUCUUAGGGUGCCUGGGUGGCUCAGUUGGUUAAGCAUCCAAAUCUUGAUUUCAGCUCAGGUCAUGAUCUCACGUUUUGUUGAGUUCAAACACCAUGUGGGGCUCCACACUGUCAGAGGUUUUUUUAAAAUAAACUUUAAAAACACAACACUAUUCUUUAAAAAAAAGUUAUAUAAUCUGGGGCACCUGGGUGGCUCAAUAGGUUAAGUGUCCAGCUCUUGAUCUCAGCUCAGGUCUUGAUCUCAGGGUUCAAGCCCUAUGUUGGGCUGCACAAUGAGUGCGAAACCUACUUUAAAAAAUAAAAUUAAAUAGUCUAUCCCUGAAGGUUUAUUUUCCCAAAAUAAAUAUUGGAAUUUUUACAUCAGAAGCUGUGCUCAAUUUUUGAGAAUUUUCUUAUAUUUUGCCAAAGUACUUGCCAGAAAAUUUACCUUUUUAUGCUCCCAUUAUUCAUCUCUGGGAUGUCUACCCUCAAUAGCACUGAUUAUUGUUCCUUUUAACAUUUGUAGUUUGAUAAACAGAUAUCUCAUUGUUUUACUGGUUAGUAGAGAGGCUAAACAUUUUAAUAUAUUUUUUGGCCUUGCAUUCCCUCUUUUUUGAAUUCUUUGCUCCUAUCAAGUGCCCAUUUUCUUCAAGGUGGAUGUUUGAGAUUAACCACUUAGUUCUGAAAUGCAAAAAAGUAUGCUCAAGUUCUGAAAAUAAUUAUCAACCCCUCCAAAAAAUUGUCAUUGUCUGCUUUGCCAUCACCACCUAGUUAUUUAAUUUUUACAAAUUUCUUCCUCCCCGAAAUAGGUUUCUGGUUGAUUUUCACUCUUAUUCCCUUCUCAAGAAGUCCUUAGAUUUUCAAAAUUUAUUUUCUCUUAUCCCAUGAAGUGCCAUAUUAAUAUUAUGCUAAGUAUAUUAAAUUUUAAUUUCACUUAUUUAUUUUGAGAAAGAGAGAGAGAGGGGUUUAAAAAUAUUGUCUCACUUUUGAAAAUAAAAAGUACAUCUUGAGUCUUAUAUUUGAGGAGUAUAUUAAAUAAGCUUGAGGAACAUAUUAAACUAUUGAAUAAAAUAGUUGCAAUGCUGGUAUUUGUCUCAAGGUGGGAGUUCGGAGGAAGUGGAGUCAGUAUCUCUAUAGCAGUAUUUGCUGCCUGUUUCCCAACUAUUUUGCUGCUUUUUGCUGGCCCUCAUGUAUGUUAUUACCUUAAAAUCCUUACCCAGGAUUUUAAAUCAUUAAAAAUGAUUUUAAUCCUUAAAAUCAUUACCCAGUUCUAAAGCCCACCUACUGGACAUUGGUGGAGGCUGUUAGUAUCAGUCACACCAGAGAGAGAAGAGUGGGCAGGAAACUCAUCAGGGGAUCUUGGUUGGCCUCUAUAUCUUAGCUCUAUUUUUAACUCUCUGCAAUCAACGUUGAUGACAUUAGACAUUUGCUUAAUCUCAGUGCCUUCGGUCACUCUUUCUUUGGCUCAUUCCUCUCACACCUUAGACCCUUCUCCCAAGCUACACCCUAUGCUUAGAGUGACCAUAUGCUCUCUUUUUCUCGAGUCCCAAUUUCAAAUAUUCUGUCCUAUUGCCAAAUCAGAUGUCAGACCAUAUGCUUCAUAUUUUCUUUGGGGAAAUAUAUUCACUUACCUGUGCUUCAGUUCCCUAAAUUCUGCUCAUCACGAUUUCUAUUGGUUUUGCAAAACAGUUUAUGAAAAAUGUCAUUAAUCCAAAAUACAGCUCAGAUAUUCUCUCUUACGGGAAGCAUUCCUUCAUAGCCUGCCUUCCUUCAGUGCGGCUCAUAAGUGCUCCCAGAGCUGUCUCUGUGCCUCCUUCCGCAGGGCACAACCCAAGCCUUAGAUUUCCCUCACCCACACAUUAGAAUUGCCAUCCUUGGCAUAUCUGGAAAAAGUGAAAGCUGAGGAGGGUUGCUCUAUAUCUAUUAUGGAUUCACCCACCUGCACUUUGCUGCUCAGGAAGGUAUUCUCUGUCCAGUUAGAGAAUACCCUUCAUUUUUCUACUGUUAAUGGUUUGGAUCAUACACUCUAGUCCACAUUCUCUUUCUCCUGCCUGGUAGCCUAUUGAUCUGAGUAUUCCCCAGCAGUACAUGUCCCCAUCUUGGUUGUUUCAGUCUAGAAUAAUACCAUGGGUGAGGGGUGGGCUUUCCCCUCUAUAUCUAGUUGUACAGUCUAGAGUCCAGAAAGAGAUUCAGUAUUCUAAGGAUCUAGGAGACAAUUAUCAGAUCAUGCACAUAUACACACAUUGAUUUCUCAAGGACAAACAUCAAUUUUCAGAGCAGUACCAAUAAAGAGGAAAAGAACCCUUGUCCUAAUUUUUUUUAUAUAACACAGCCCUGGUACACAAUGGAGAUAGGAAUUUGCAUUAUAAUGCAGAAUAGCAUUAAUUUUUGUAUUCAUCUUUCCUUUCUCUUCUGCUUUUAAACAGGAGGCUCCAGGCUAACAAGAAAUAAGAAAAUGGACCAACUGCUGAGUCUAAUUUCCUCCUAAUGGAUGAGAAUAUGUUAUAAGCUGUGGCCCAUGUCUGCAGAAAAACAUACAGCUAGCCAAUGCAUGAAGAAUUUUACAUAGUUUCAAGGCACCCAUGGAUCUGUCUAAAAGAUUUCUGCAUCUCAGGAUAAGAAUUCCUGUCAUAUUUAUAUGUGUGUUAGGCACUGGAGAAGCAGAUAUUAAUCAAAGAAUCAUAUAGACAAAUGUAAAUUACCACUGUAAUUUUAGGUGCAUAACAGGUUGGUUGUCCUAGGCAGAGAGGUCCCAGAAGGCUUUUCUGGCAAAGUGAUGAUUGGGGUAAAGUCAAACAGAAGGGUAGAGAGAGUCCAGAUAGAGGAAAUAGCCUGAAAAAAAGUUCUGUGGUCAGGAGGCAUAGGCAUAUUUAGGGAAUGGAAAGGCUAGUGUGGCUGAUGGACAGAGAAUGAGGGAGAGGAAAGCUUCAGAAAGAGGCCAGUUAUGAAGGGCCUCAUAGACCAGUUAGGGAACUUAGUCUUUAUUCUAGGAGCAUUGGGAACUGUUCGUGGUAGAAGGGUGAUACCUGGUUUUGGUUAUGAAUCAAAACUCUGGCUAUUAUGCGGGAAUGAAUUAGAGGGAAGCAGGAGUGGAUGGGGAGAGAUCAGUUUGGACACUAUGACUCUAGUCCAAGGGAAGGUGGUAAUCUCAAGUACAGAGGUGACUGUGGAGGAAAAGAGAAAUGGCUGGGUUCAAGGACCAGCCAGAAGUGAAAUGAUAGAACUGAGAGAUGAGUUGGAAAACAGGAGAACAGGUGAGAGAGAGGGAAAUGUUAAGAAGAGCAUCUGGGUUUUGGGUUCCAUGAUAGAUUAAAUGGUGGUUCGGGGCGCCUGGGUGGCUCAGUUGCUUGAGCGACUGACUUCGGCUCAGGUCAUGAUCUUACGGUUUGUGAGUUCGAGCCCUGCGUCGGGCUCUAUGCUGACACCUCAGAGCCUGCAGCCUGCUUCGGAUUCUGUGU